UGGGCGGUCGCCAAGCGGUAAGGCCCCGGACUUUGGAUCCGGUAUUCGAAGGUUCGAAUCCUUCCCGCCCAG
rnacentral:tRNA from 1 species